CUAUUGGAAAGUAAAAAGUCGUAACAAGGUUUCCGUAGGUGAACCUGCGGAAGGAUCAUUACCUAGAGUUUGUAGACUUCGGUCUGCUACCUCUUACCCAUGUCUUUUGAGUACCUUCGUUUCCUCGGCGGGUCCGCCCGCCGAUUGGACAACAUUCAAACCCUUUGCAGUUGCAAUCAGCGUCUGAAAAAACAUAAUAGUUACAACUUUCAACAACGGAUCUCUUGGUUCUGGCAUCGAUGAAGAACGCAGCGAAAUGCGAUAAGUAGUGUGAAUUGCAGAAUUCAGUGAAUCAUCGAAUCUUUGAACGCACAUUGCGCCCCUUGGUAUUCCAUGGGGCAUGCCUGUUCGAGCGUCAUUUGUACCUUCAAGCUCUGCUUGGUGUUGGGUGUUUGUCUCGCCUCUGCGUGUAGACUCGCCUUAAAACAAUUGGCAGCCGGCGUAUUGAUUUCGGAGCGCAGUACAUCUCGCGCUUUGCACUCAUAACGACGACGUCCAAAAGUACAUUUUUACACUCUUGACCUCGGAUCAGGUAGGGAUACCCGCUGAACUUAAGCAUAUCAAAGGCGGGAGGAAA
rnacentral:rRNA from 1 species